rnacentral:rRNA from 1 species
GACGAACGCUGGCGGCGUGCUUAACACAUGCAAGUCGAACGAAGAGCGAUGGAAGCUUGCUUCUGUCAAUCUUAGUGGCGAACGGGUGAGUCACGCGUAAUCAACCUUCCCUUCAGAGGGGGACAACAGUUGGAAACGACUGCUCAUACCGCAUACGAUCUAAUCUCGGCAUCGAGGAUAGAUGAAAGGUGGCCUCUACAUGUAAGCUAUCACUGAAGGAGGGGAUUGCGUCUGAUUAGCUAGUUGGCGGGGUAACGUCCCACCAAGGCGAUGAUCAGUAGCCGGUCUGAGAGGAUGAGCGGCCACAUUGGGACUGAGACACGGCCCAGACUCCCACGGGAGGCAGCAGUGGGGAAUCUUCCGCAAUGGACGAAAGUCUGACGGAGCAACGCCGCGUGAGUGAUGACGGCCUUCGGGUUGUAAAGCUCGGUUAAUCGGGACGAAAGGCCUUCUUGCGAAUAGGGAGAAGGAUUGACGGUACCGGAAUAGAAAGCCACGGCUAACUACGUG